UAGCGCACGUGCUCUGAGCACAGUUGGCCUUCGUUUUUGCCUGAUGGAAAAAGUGGAAAAAUGAUACGGAAAAUUAGCCUACCUUAUUCACAGCACCGCUGUGAGUGCACAGUAAGUUGCCGCAUUUUUAAUAUGUUCUUCCCGCAGUGCCGUUGUUCAAUGGAGAGCCUCGCGCAUUGGGAUGUUCGCGGUUUCCCUGCAUUCCGAACUAUGACAAAAACGGCUCUGUCAUGGCGGGUGGUGGUUGGAGAGGCCCCAGUUGCUCGGUCGGUGGAACCGACGGCUACACCACGCAUGCUGGGUAAUUCUCACAGCCGUGCCAUUCAACCCGAGGAGCAUCACAUUUGCUGAAAAUUGCCUCGUACCCCAGUGAUCUGAUGGAUGGCAGCAGACACUUUGCACAGGAGAGUUAAAUGAACUCCCUUUUUGUGUGGGAGUUGAGAGGGUAUCGAUUCAAGCAACAUAAACGUCAGUGAGUACAAAAACAUUAAACAUUUCAUUCAAGGCAGCCUUUUAUAUAUACAAAAGUAUAAAAUAUGAAAAUACUGUCUGUUGGUAUACCCCAAGGAUCUAAUUUGUGCACUCUGAUAUUUUCUGUUUCCUUUUACCAUAUAAUACAUCUUUUAUGGAGAUAGCAUGCACAAUGUUUUGUUUGGCUUUUAAAUUUCCAAUAUGUACAUUGGGAAUCUUCUCCUGUACACAUUCCUAUGAUUUUAAUGCAAUUGUAAAAAUAUGUCCUUGGGUCAUCCCUGUAUUUUUUAUAAGUAUUUUCCUGCUCCCCCUCUGGGAGUAACAAAGACCAAUAAUGCUUUUCUAUAAUCCAGGAUGAGUCACAAGGGACCGCCUAUUCCAAUUGCCCUGAUACCAUGUGUGUGUACUGGAUAAAUAA